AUGGAUCUGAACAUUUUCUAUGUGACGUUGCUUGGUUACUGUGACUACAUUUUCUGUUCAAGCAUGGCUGCUGACCAAUUUUGCAAGGAUACUAAUGUCCAAGAAAAGGGUUGUUAUGCUGAAUGCAAUAGUACAGUGCUUCGUAUGAUAAUUAUAGUUCCUGAAUUUUUGCUCGCCGUACUGAUCAGCAGUGGCACCAGUUUUGCAUUAGAUUGUGGUGAAAUUCAAGCAGCCUUGUUGGCUAAUGGUGUUGCUAUCAUAUCAUUCGUUUGGCGACAUGACAAACUUGCAAGCACACAUGAUGUCUGUCAGGGGCCUGGUAUUUCUACCCUUCAGGCGACAUGGGAUCCGGGAGGUUUGACACAAUAUCAGUUUGUGGACAAGGCUGAAGAUCGGGUUCAGGAAGUUAUGCGAACUCCAUGGGAUUCUGGUGGCACUCUGCAACAUCGACUUGGGGGCAAGUCGAAUCUUAUGGGGGAGGGAUUGUCAGCGACCCGUGUUGGGCUGGACAGUGGGCCAUCACCUUGGGCCUGGCCUGCCCUGGCAUUAGCAAGGAGAAGUCCUACAAAUAGCAGGAAGAAGGAAACAGAAAGGCGGCUUGGACGGAUGGGCUUCGGCCUUGGCUUGGCAAGGCAUGCUAAUUCCUCUCUCCUGUAG
rnacentral:rRNA from 1 species